rnacentral:tRNA from 1 species
GGAGAAAUGGCCGAGUGGCUGAAGGCGCUCGCCUGCUAAGCGAGUAUGGGGUUAAUCGCUCCAUCGAGAGUUCGAAUCUCUCUUUCUCCGCCA